GCCUUCAUGGUGUAAUUGGAAAGCAUAUCCGUCUAGCAAUCGGAAGAACGGAGUUCCAAUCUCUGGCGAGGGCA
rnacentral:tRNA from 1 species